CCUACGGGGGGCAGCAGUGGGGAAUAUUGCACAAUGGGGGAAACCCUGAUGCAGCAACGCCGCGUGAGUGAGGAAGUAUUUCGGUAUGUAAAGCUCUAUCAGCAGGGAAUAGAAAAGAAGGUACCUAAAAAAGAAGCCCCGGCUAACUACGUGCCAGCAGCCGCGGUAAUACGUAGGGGGCGAGCGUUAUCCGGAUUCACUGGGUGUAAAGGGAGCGUAGACGGCCAUGCAAGCCAGGGGUGAAAGCCCGGGGCCCAACCCCGGGACUGCCCUUGGAACUGUGCGGCUAGAGUGCGGGAGGGGCG
rnacentral:rRNA from 1 species